ensembl:lncRNA LINC02210 long intergenic non-protein coding RNA 2210
ACUUCUAGGCUUGGUUGAACCGUGCAGAUACCUUCUCGAAACAAAAGAUUUUCCUACCUGCUUAUACUUGGUAACCGAGGGAAUUUCUAAGACUUCUUGCUCAUUUCUGAGUAUUGUCUUUAUAUCCUGACACUAUGAAUGCUACUUGGAUGCCUCUUAAGGGUCUCUUCUGCAGGGUCCCCAUGAAUUGUGGCUGAAGUUGUGCACAAACAAGUAUCUCCAGUGACAGGAGUGCCUUCUGAGGCAGCCAUUGCAUCUUCAUCUGCUGACACUCUGCUAGGCUGACUUCUGUAGUUUUCACCACUGAUCUUCAGUCCACCUCACAGAGCUCUAUAAAACGCUUAAAUCCUCUUUACAUCAUAGACUUUCAGCUACUUGAAGAUAGCCAUCAGCCGCUACGUGACUCUUUUCUCCAGGCUGGAGUGCAAUGGCGCUACCUUGGCUCACCGCAACUUCCGCCUCCUGGGCUCAAGCAAUUCUCCUGCCUCAGCCUCCCGAGUAGCUGGGAUUACAGGAUCUCCCUAAUACUAUGAACGCGGCAGAGAUAACGGACAAGCUCGGCCUCCAUUCCCUCCGCUACAGAAACUGGCACAUUCAGGCUACUUGUGCCACUACUGGACAUGGGCUUUACGAAGGCCUGAACUGGCUCGCCAACCAGUUCCAGAACCAGAACUGAUCAGAAGGAUCUAUUCUUUGUGCCUUGUG